rnacentral:rRNA from 1 species
CGAAAGCCUGACGGAGCAAGACCGCGUGAGGGAGGAAGGCUCUUGGGUUGUAAACCUCUUUUCUCAGGGAAGAAGCUCUGACGGUACCUGAGGAAUCAGCCUCGGCUAACUCCGUGCCAGCAGCCGCGGUAAUACGGAGGAGGCAAGCGUUAUCCGGAAUUAUUGGGCGUAAAGCGUCCGCAGGUGGCGAUUCAAGUCUGCUGUCAAAGCACGGGGCUUAACUACUGAAAGGCAGUAGAUACUGAAGGGCUAGAGUGCGGUAGGGGCAGAGGGAAUUCCCGGUGUAGCGGUGAAGUGCGUAGAUUUCGGGAAGAACAUCGGUGGCGAAAGCGCUCUGCUGGGCCGCAACUGACACUCAGGGACGAAAGCUAGGGGAGCG